AAUAGAAAGGGACUCCAUCUAAAACUGUCUGGUUCUGUCUUUCUGUUAAGUCAAAUAUUUACUAAAAUACAAUCACUUAAGACCGAAAGAAACUGGUCUGCACCGCGGCGCCGAGGAAAAGACUCCCAGAACUUUCAGCGUGUCUCCUCUCGCCUUUACGCCGCCAAAGAGAUAUGGGAACUCGUCCACGUAGCUGCGGAGAGACUCGAGGGGCUGUUUGGGAUCGAUGCCAAGGAGCAUCACGGAAAGAGCCCACUGUUGGUUGUAGUGACCGCCAAUCAGCUGCACAUCGCUUGUGACCUCAUCAGGCUGGGCGCCGAUGUGAACACAGCCAACGACUGAGGCCGUUCCGCCGUUCACCUGGCCUUGACGUACAGCUUUGUGGAGGUUAUUCAGGAAUCUCAGAGAGGCUGUCAAACACCAGGAACCCCCAGCCGCUCAGAUGUCAGGUGCCCUGAGG